UACGGAGGGUGCGAGCGUUGUCCGGAAUCACUGGGCGUAAAGAGCUCGUAGGCGGUUUGUCGCGUCGGCCGUGAAAUCUCCACGCUUAACGUGGAGCGUGCGGUCGAUACGGGCAGACUUGAGUUCGGUAGGGGAGACUGGAAUUCCUGGUGUAGCGGUGAAAUGCGCAGAGUAUCAGGAGGGAACACCCGGGUGGGCGAAAGGCGGGGUCUCUGGGC
rnacentral:rRNA from 1 species